rnacentral:rRNA from 1 species
UGGGGAAUUUUGGACAAUGGGGGAAACCCUGAUCCAGCCAUCCCGCGUGUGCGAUGAAGGCCUUCGGGUUGUAAAGCACUUUUGGCAGGAAAGAAACGUCGCGGGUUAAUACCCCGCGGAACUGACGGUACCUGCAGAAUAAGCACCGGCUAACUACGUGCCAGCAGCCGCGGUAAUACGUAGGGUGCAAGCGUUAAUCGGAAUUACUGGGCGUAAAGCGUGCGCAGGCGGUUCGGAAAGAAAGAUGUGAAAUCCCAGAGCUUAACUUUGGAACUGCAUUUUUAACUACCGGGCUAGAGUGUGUCAGAGGGAGGUGGAAUUCCGCGUGUAGCAGUGAAAUGCGUAGAUAUGCGGAGGAACACCGACGGCGAAGGCAGCCUCCUGGGAUAACACUGACGCUCAUGCACGAAAGCGUGGGGAGCAAACAGGAUUAGAUACCCUGGUAGUCCACGCCCUAAAACGAUGUCAACUAGCUGUUGGGGUCUUCGGACCUUGGUAGCGCAGCUAACGCGUGAAGUUGACCGCCUGGGGAGUACGGUCGCAAGA